ensembl:lncRNA LINC01630 long intergenic non-protein coding RNA 1630
GAAGAAACACAAAAGAAAGCUGCCAAUUGGAUAUGGGUAUUGUAGCUGAAACGUCUUGCGAGCUGAGUCAGGGUCGGGGAAGCUGUGAUGGCAAUGAGAAGUCAACACACUGAGGAUGGAGAGAAAGAAGAUGAGUCUGGGAGAGAAAGAGAAUGAUUCUUCUGGCCGAGGGAAAGCAAGAAUAUCUGUUCCUGCAACUGCACUGAUUCUAGAAACACUCUCUAUUCGAACUCUCAUGAGCUGAAAUUAUUAACAUGGGAAUAUCACUAGCAUUUUUCCCAUAGAUGGACCGAAAAUGCUGACGCCAAUGCCAAGGAAAAAAGUGUCUUGAAAAAGCAGCCGUGGACGUGGAGUUACCAAAUCAUCCGAAGUGGCUCCUGGACCGGGUGGAGGAGCCAGGCUGCAGAAAUGCAGUUCAUCGCAGGAGUUUUCCUGAACAGAGAAAAGUCUCCACAGAAUAGCAAAAAUAGCAAAAACUCGAAGUCAAGGGUCUUGAGGUCUAAAUUUUCUGUGUGACCCCAGGGAAAUCGUUUCAUCUUUCUAGGUCUUCACAUCCUCACCUGAAAAAUAAAGUGCUUGGCUAAGAAA